UACGAAGGGUGCUAGCGUUGUUCGGAAUGACUGGGCGUAAAGGGUGCGUAGGCGGCCAGAAACGUCUGAUGUGAAAUCCCUGGGCUUAACCUAGGAACUGCAUUGGAUACGGUCUGGCUAGAGUCCGCGAGAGGAAGAUGGAAUUGUGCGUGUAGAGGUGAAAUUCGUAGAUAUGCACAAGAACACCGGUGGCGAAGGCGAUCUUCUGGAGCGGUACUGACGCUAAGGCACGAAAGUGUGGGGAGCAAACAGGAUUAGAUACCCUGGUAGUCCACACUGUAAACGAUGAAUAUUAGAUGUCGGGGAGGUUACUCUUCGGUAUCGCAGCUAACGCAUUAAAUAUUCCGCCUGGGGAGUACGGUCGCAAGAUUAAA
rnacentral:rRNA from 1 species